CCAUGGCUGUGUCCCAAUUCCUAGGACGCAUCCUUCGAAGGCUGCAUUCGAAGGAUGCGUCGACGCCGAUUGCGUCACAGCGACGCGCCAAGUGCUGUCCCAAUUCCAAGGGUCCUUCAAAUGCGGCCUACGAAUGCAGCCUUCUUUUCCCGGAUUUGAAGGAUGCAUCGGCUGUAUCCUUCGCGGCCCAACGUAUCCCAAGAUCCUUCACGGCCCAACGUAUCCCUCCCAAGAUUCAUUGCGCACUCAAUCAAUGGAGAUGGCGGAGAAUGGCGAUUUAAGUUCUGCAUUUAAAUGGAGCCAGCAGCAUACUGCUCGAUUUAUUCAAUUGAGGGGGGAGAACGAUGAGAGGUUCACCGGGGUGAAAUAGCCUACUCUCAGCAAGUGUGGCUUGGGGGAUUGCAAGUAUCCAGGGUCAGGAGAGGGGCUAGGUGGGAAACCCACUGCUGCCACUUGGCCCUGGUUUGUCCCAUGGAUAAGGUAUUGGGACAGAGGCAUUCCACCAACCCCCCUGUCCUAAUUGCCUCCAUCCCUGAGAACACACCAGGGCCAAGUACAGCAGUGGUGGAUCAGGAGGUGGAGGACAAGGAUCAGGAGGAGGAAAGACAGCGAGGGCCAAGGUCCAGAAAGAGGGACAGAGGAAGACAUGUUCCAGAGUCGCUCACUAUCUUCCGAAAAGGACUCAAGAUUCACCUGUUCAGAGUCCACCUCGACUGCAUAGCCACCCUCCCCCUUCUGGCCACCAUUGUACACUGUGUUGUAUUGUAUUGUAUUAUAGUACUUAACUGUGUAGCAACUGCAGUAGCUGCUAUCAUGGCUGUAACACGGGGAAUGGGUUAGCCUAGCGAUUGUGGUACUUGCACUUGGUUCUAUGAACAUCCUUUCUGUACCGACAGCGAUAUAUUGAUGCACUUCUUAUGAAAAAUGUACUUAUUGUAAGUCGCUUUGGAUAAAAGCAUCUGCUAAAUGCCCUAAAUGUCAAUGUAAAAUGUAAAUGUUCCAGUUAAUAAAAGAGGACAUGAGGCUACAAA